GUCUAAUUGAAGAGUCCCCGAAUAGGACGAAUCACGCGUCCUAGAU
rnacentral:hammerhead_ribozyme from 1 species